GACGAACGCUGGCGGCGUGCCUAAUACAUGCAAGUCGAACGCUGAAGAGAGGAGCUUGCUCUUCUUGGAUGAGUUGCGAACGGGUGAGUAACGCGUAGGUAACCUGCCUUGUAGCGGGGGAUAACUAUUGGAAACGAUAGCUAAUACCGCAUAACAAUGGAUGACACAUGUCAUUUAUUUGAAAGGGGCAAUUGCUCCACUACAAGAUGGACCUGCGUUGUAUUAGCUAGUAGGUGAGGUAAUGGCUCACCUAGGCGACGAUACAUAGCCGACCUGAGAGGGUGAUCGGCCACACUGGGACUGAGACACGGCCCAGACUCCUACGGGAGGCAGCAGUAGGGAAUCUUCGGCAAUGGGGGCAACCCUGACCGAGCAACGCCGCGUGAGUGAAGAAGGUUUUCGGAUCGUAAAGCUCUGUUGUAAGUGAAGAACGGGUGUGAGAGUGGAAAGUGCACACUGUGACGGUAGCUUACCAGAAAGGGACGGCUAACUACGU
rnacentral:rRNA from 1 species